rnacentral:rRNA from 1 species
GACGAACGCUGGCGGCGUGCUUAACACAUGCAAGUCGAACGGAAAGGCCCUGCUUUUGUGGGGUGCUCGCGUGGCGAACGGGUGAGUAACACGUGAGUAACCUGCCCUUGACUUUGGGAUAACUUCAGGCAACUGGGGCUAAUACAGGCUAGGAGCUCCUGCUGCAUGGUGGGGGUUGGACCGUUUCGGCGGUUGGGGAUGGACUCGCGGCUGAUUAGCUUGUUGGUGGGGUAGUGGCUUACCAAGCCUUUGACGGGUAGCCGGCCUGAGAGGGUGACCGGCCACAUUGGGACUGAGAGACGGACCAGACGCGUACGGGAGGCAGCAGUGGGGAGUAUGGCACAAUGGGCGGGAGCCUGAUGCAGCAACGCCGCGUGCGGGAUGACGGCCUUCGGGUGGUAAACCGCUGUCGCCUGUGACGAAGCGUGAGUGACGGUAAUGGCUAAAGAAGCACCGGCUAACUACGU